GUCGAGCGAACGGAUAAGGAGCUUGCUCCUUUGAAGUUAGCGGCGGACGGGUGAGUAACACGUGGGUAACCUACCUAUAAGACUGGAAUAACUUCGGGAAACCGGAGCUAAUGCCGGAUAACAUUUGGAACCGCAUGGUUCUAAAGUAAAAGAUGGUUUUGCUAUCACUUAUAGAUGGACCCGCGCCGUAUUAGCUAGUUGGUAAGGUAACGGCUUACCAAGGCAACGAUACGUAGCCGACCUGAGAGGGUGAUCGGCCACACUGGAACUGAGACACGGUCCAGACUCCUACGGGAGGCAGCAGUAGGGAAUCUUCCGCAAUGGACGAAAGUCUGACGGAGCAACGCCGCGUGAGUGAUGAAGGUUUUCGGAUCGUAAAACUCUGUUAUUAGGGAAGAACAAAUGUGUAAGUAACUGUGCACAUCUUGACGGUACCUAAUCAGAAAGCCACGGCUAACUACGUGCCAGCAGCCGCGGUAAUACGUAGGUGGCAAGCGUUAUCCGGAAUUAUUGGGCGUAAAGCGCGCGUAGGCGGUUUCUUAAGUCUGAUGUGAAAGCCCACGGCUCAACCGUGGAGGGUCAUUGGAAACUGGGAAACUUGAGUACAGAAGAGGAAAGUGGAAUUCCAUGUGUAGCGGUGAAAUGCGCAGAGAUAUGGAGGAACACCAGUGGCGAAGGCGACUUUCUGGUCUGUAACUGACGCUGAUGUGCGAAAGCGUGGGGAUCAAACAGGAUUAGAUACCCUGGUAGUCCACGCCGUAAACGAUGAGUGCUAAGUGUUAGGGGGUUUCCGCCCCUUA
rnacentral:rRNA from 2 species